AACGAACGCUGGCGGCAGGCUUAACACAUGCAAGUCGAACGCCCCGCCAGGGGAGUGGCAGACGGGUGAGUAACGCGUGGGAAUCUACCCAGUUCUACGGAACAACACAGGGAAACUUGUGCUAAUACCGUAUACGCCCUAAGGGGGACAGAUUUAUCGGAAUUGGAUGAGCCCGCGUUGGAUUAGCUAGUUGGUGGGGUAAUGGCCUACCAAGGCGACGAUCCAUAGCUGGUCUGAGAGGAUGAUCAGCCACACUGGGACUGAGACACGGCCCAGACUCCUACGGGAGGCAGCAGUGGGGAAUAUUGGACAAUGGGCGCAAGCCUGAUCCAGCCAUGCCGCGUGAGCGAUGAAGGCCUUAGGGUUGUAAAGCUCUUUCAGUAGGGACGAUAAUGACGGUACCUACAGAAGAAGCCCCGGCUAACUCUGUGCCAGCCGCCGCCGUAA
rnacentral:rRNA from 1 species